rnacentral:rRNA from 1 species
AACGAACGCUGGCGGCGUGCUUAACACAUGCAAGUCGAACGGAAAGGCCCUGCGCUUGCGGGGCGCUCGAGUGGCGAACGGGUGAGUAACACGUGUGUAAACUGCCCCUGACUUUGGGAGAAAUUUAGGAAACAGGGGCUAAUACCGGAUAGGAGCUCCUGCUGCACGGGGGGGGUUGGAAAGUGUCGGCGGUUGGGGCUGGUCUAGCGGGUUAUCAGCUUGUUGGUGGGGUAGGGGAUUACCAAGGCUUUGACGGGUAGCCGGCCUGAGAGGGUGACCGGCCACAUUGAGCCUGAGAUACGGCCCAGACUCCUACGGUGCGCAGUGGUGGGAAAUCUUGCACAACGGGCGCAAGCCUGAUGCAGCGACGCCGCGUGCGGGAUGACGGCCUUCGGGUUAUAAACCGCUUUCGCCUGUGACGAAGCGUGAGUGACGGUACUGGGUAAAGAAGCACCGGCUAACUACGUG